UGUCUUGAGCGAGCUCCUCAAUCUGAGUCUCAGUUCUCGCGUCUGUGACAGGAAGGUUAUGCUGCCUAUGAGCUCCUGUUCUUCUGACGAAAAAUGGAAUGCAGAAGAUCAUCAAUGGAGUGCUUUCAAGUGAAUCACAAUCACACGCAUGUGCAAAACCAUCGGUGAAGUCUAUAUGUGCAAUUAAAUGCCUAAUUAUGCUUAAA